rnacentral:rRNA from 1 species
UACGUAGGGCGCAAGCGUUGUCCGGAAUUAUUGGGCGUAAAGAGCUCGUAGGCGGUUUGUCGCGUCUGUCGUGAAAGCCCACGGCCUAACCGUGGGUCUGCGGUGGAUACGGGCAGACUAGAGGCAGGUAGGGGAGAAUGGAAUUCCCGGUGUAGCGGUGAAAUGCGCAGAUAUCGGGAGGAACACCGGUGGCGAAGGCGGUUCUCUGGGCCUGUACUGAUGCUGAGGAGCGAAAGCGUGGGGAGCGAACAGG